UCCUUGGGGAGGAAGGAGAGCGGUAAGGCUCUUUUAGCUAGGGUGAGGUGUCACCCCCAGCUUUCCCCUGUGAAGGACCUAACACCUGGGCCUUCCUCUGAUCCCCACGUGGCCCUAGUCAAAUCCAUGCAUAAAGCAGGAGGUGGCAACCAUCAAACGGGCUGCCAACCAUGGGCCCGAUUAGCCUAUUAGAUGUCAUGGCCCAAUAUUCCAAUAUGGGCCCAAACAGAAGUAAUUGGGCCCAGUUGAUUUUUGGGCCCAGGUAUUACAUUCUUCCCCCCUUAAAUAAAUUUCGUCCUCGAAAUUAGUCAUACCUUAAGGUUCAGGCUUUAAAAGUAUUCAACAUCGAGUCAUCCUCGAGAUCUCAGUUAGUCUCCCUCUUAAAAUGCUUGCUCAUAAGAUUUUGGCAAAAUCAUGGCAUCUCAAAACUUGA
rnacentral:lncRNA from 1 species